CUCUUAAUGACUCUGUUUACUUCUUGACAGCUGGAAAUGAUUUCGUUCAGUUCAAUUCUCGUUUCUUAUUUCAACGCGUCGAAAUCGUAAUAGAAUGGCGUCGUUUCAUUGCAACUUUUAUUGGACCCUUGAACUUGAGGAGAAGUUAAUAAUGUGUUUGAUGGAUUACCCUUGCAUUUACAAUGUGAAUAUUCCAGAAUAUCGUAAUGCUGAAGUGAAGGCAAGUGCAUUCCUCAAAAUUUCCAAAGGAAUAGGAUGUGAUGUUGCUGAAGUAAAACAAAAGUGGACAAAGCUUAAGGAGAAGUACCGUAGAGAGCGUGGCUCAACCAAGAAGCCAAGUGGAUCUCCUGUGGAUGAGCAGCCUACAUCAAAAUGGGCAUUGUUCGAAUGCAUGUCUUUCCUUGACAAGUUCAUACAGCGAAGAAAGUAAGAUUUUCAAUAUUCAUUAUAUUUAAUCAGCAUACUACAUUGCAACAAUUUCACCGUCGAUCUGGGAACUUCCCUUCUACUUUAUCAGACCGAUCCGAUUCCACUGGGUGCUUUAAAUCGGUUGAAGAUGUGCAGCUUUCUGAUACUGAGGAUAAGGAAAAUUCUGCAAGCCAUCCUAAUCAAGGACAAUCGAAAGAGACACCCAUAUUGAAAACACCAGCAGCCAAGUAGAUAAUUAAUACACCUACAACACCCCAUAUUGUCCCCAAGGUUAUUGGCCGGCGCAAAACGAAAAUUGCAUCUGGAAACGAAAUUGAACUUCUGAACGAUUUGGGUUCGCUCUUGGAAUCAUGUAAAGACAGUCCUCCAACUACAAAUUCAACCUUCGAACCACCAUUCAACCACCAUUGAAAAUAGUGUUUGGAAUGCUUAUGGCAUCUCAGUAGGAAAAUCCCUUGCUGAGAUGCCAUUACCAAUUGCUCGGCGUGUUCGUCACAAAAUUGAAAAUGCCAUUUUCACAACGAUGUUGCAACAGUACUGAUUUGCACAAUUUAUUUGUACGACAUCGAUGUGAAAAUGGUAUUUUCACAUCGAUGUCGCAACAGUUCUGAUUUUCACAAUUUGUUUCUUGAAAAAAAAUCCAAGUUAUGUUUCUCUUCAUUAACUCAGCUCUUGUUACAUAGAAUGUUAAAUGUGAUGGAAUGAUUGGAAAAAUACAGACAAUGUUUAAGACUAUUAAUUGUAUGAUUUCAUUAUUGCCAAUCAGCUAUUAUGAUCCUUCUCUUUAAUAACAAUAAAAGACCACAAUGUCAAUUGUAGAUGACUAGAGGAAGGGUGUGGGUUUGUAAAAUAAAGCGUCGGGUUUUUUUAAACAGAAG